GGUUGCUCAGUGGUAGAGUGCUUGCCUUGAAUGCAUGAAGCCCUGGGUUCAAUUCCUCAGUACCA
rnacentral:tRNA from 1 species